rnacentral:lncRNA from 10 species
CCCUCUUUCCCAGCGGGCCCCAAGGCCACCUGCAGGCACUCAGCCCCAUCCAUCAUCACGACAGCUCUCCAGAUGAGUAAACCAAGGCUGAGAAAAGCUGCGUGACUUGGACAAGCCGUAAGACAAAUGAGCAGCAGGAGCCAAGACCUGUCCUCACCUCUUCUGACUGCAAGCCCAGCAUCACACCAACCUAGACCUUGGGAGGCUAAGCACUUGGAGGAUUCUUCCAAAGAGAAGCAGAAACCUACUUUCCCUACAGGCCUUAAUGAGCUACAUGAAACCCAUUGACAUAGUUUGGCUGCGUCCUCACCCAAAUCUCAUCUUGAACUGUAGCUCCCAUAAUUCCCAUGUGUUGUGGGAGGGACCUGGCGGGAGAUAAUUGAAUCAUGGAGGUCGUUUCCCCCAUACUGUUCUUGUGAUAGUGAAUAAGUCUCAAGAGGUCUGAUGGUUUUAUAAGGGGUUUCCCCUUUCACUUGGCUCUCAUUCUCUCUUGUCUGCUGCCAUGUAAGGCAUCCCUUGCUCUUCCACCAUGAUUGUGUGGUCUCCCCAGCCAUGUGGAACUGUAAGUCCAUUAAACUUCUUUUCUUUAUAAAUUA